rnacentral:rRNA from 1 species
UACGAAGGGGACUAGCGUUGCUCGGAAUCACUGGGCGUAAAGGGCGCGUAGGCGGUCGUUCAAGUCAGAGGUGAAAGCCUGAAGCUCAACUUCAGAACUGCCUUUGAUACUGUUCGACUCGAGUUCGGAAGAGGUAAGUGGAACUGCGAGUGUAGAGGUGAAAUUCGUAGAUAUUCGCAAGAACACCAGUGGCGAAGGUGGCUUACUGGUCCGAUACUGACGCUGAGGCGCGAAAGCGUGGGGAUCAAACAGG